rnacentral:rRNA from 1 species
GUGGGGAAUUUUGGACAAUGGGCGCAAGCCUGAUCCAGCCAUGCCGCGUGCAGGAUGAAGGCCUUCGGGUUGUAAACUGCUUUUGUACGGAACGAAAAGACUCUGGUUAAUACCUGGGGUCCAUGACGGUACCGUAAGAAUAAGCACCGGCUAACUACGUGCCAGCAGCCGCGGUAAUACGUAGGGUGCAAGCGUUAAUCGGAAUUACUGGGCGUACAGCGUGCGCAGGCGGUUAUAUAAGACAGAUGUGAAAUCCCCGGGCUCAACCUGGGAACUGCAUUUGUGACUGUAUAGCUAGAGUACGGUAGAGGGGGAUGGAAUUCCGCGUGUAGCAGUGAAAUGCGUAGAUAUGCGGAGGAACACCGAUGGCGAAGGCAAUCCCCUGGACCUGUACUGACGCUCAUGCACGAAAGCGUGGGGAGCAAACAGGAUUAGAAACCCGGGUAGUCC